CGGGCAGGGUGGGAUAUAACCGGGAUGAGGAGCCCCCGGUGCUCACAGCCCAGCGUGGAGCUGCUUCUUCCCAGCCCUGACCCAGGUGAAGCUGUGGCUAGAAGAAAUGAGCUCGUUGAGGAAAGCUGGAAAACACAUAGGUGGUGACAUAGUAUCUGCGAUUAUUUGGUAUGUGGUUGAGAAAGUCCUAGACCUGAUAUUCGGCACAUCCACAGGGACAAAUGUGGAGGGCAAAACACCCAUGGAACGUGACAUAGAUGAAGACUUCCAGAAGCCCAGUUUCAGGGUGCCGAAGUUCACGGACAUCAACAGUAUGAGCCGGUGAAGCCAAAUUUAUUAUCCCUAAGAGGGCUAUAUUUAUAGUAAGUUUCUACUGUCCACGCAUCUCUAGCUAAUACAUGAUUGGUUAAUCCUAGCUGUUCACAUGUCUAAAAUAAAAUGCUGAUUGGAUCAUCUAAUUUUUCACGUGUCUUGCUGUGGUCAUCUGACCCACCCAUUGCUUUCUCUUUUUUCUUACUUUCUCAAACUUGCUGACAAACUUGCUGAGUCUUGAUGACUCUUCUUCUUGUAUCAUUCGCAAGGAUAUACCGACCCCAUUUCUGAAUAUGUCCAUUAUUCAUUGUUUGUGAACGUGUCCGUUGUCCAUUAUCCCAAGCAGGCUGGAUUGGGCAUCGGCUGAAUAUGGCCAUUGUCCUGCAAAAACUCCUCAAUCUGCAGAAAAUCUUCAACACCCCAGAGUCUGACCCUGCCCCACAGCCCACCUCAGAAAUGAACCACCCAGGUUGGAUGGGGGUUCUGGUGAAGGAGAUGGGCCAGAUGCUGAAGGAGUACAUUUCUCCAGCUGGUUCCAGCUGAACUGCAGAGGCAGUCACAGCCAGCAGCAUUCGCCCCUGCAGAAACAAGGAGGUCUAAGAUGAAAUCAGAACACCCAGACAAGGAUAAGAAUGGAGGGCCCUCACAUCCCACAGGGGAGCCAGUGGUUGAGAUCAUCACUGAGUCCCUGACAUACAAAAGUGACGGAGUCGACGGGAGAGAAGCACAUCCGAUGAUGAUCAACAAGUCUCAAUUUAUUGAUUUAACAUGCGUGCUCUUAUAACUAUGAUAAUAAGGCUCAUACAUAUUGCAAAACUAAAGCUCACUAUGGGUUCGCUAUAAGAGGUCAGCUCAACCUUUGCUAUCAGAUACUCAGGAUGCCUAUGUUUUCUCCCCUCAUUAGCUAGUCUCUGCUUCUGCAGCCCGUUAUCGUAUAACUUCCUGCUCAAGGACACUCUGGCCCUGCCAAAGGCCCCCGACCAGAGGCCCAUUGCUUUACCAGCUGUAUUUUAUCAUGUCCCUUCUCUUCAAGCCACGUCUCCACAAAACUCUCCACACAAAAGUCUCUGUAAUCUGCACAAAGACAUUGUACAACGGGGUUAUGAGGCUUAAACAA